CCUACGGGUGGCAGCAGUAGGGAAUAUUGCUCAAUGGGGGAAACCCUGAAGCAGCAACGCCGCGUGGAGGAUGAAGGUUUUCGGAUUGUAAACUCCUUUUGUUAGAGAAGAUAAUGACGGUAUCUAACGAAUAAGCACCGGCUAACUCCGUGCCAGCAGCCGCGGUAAUACGGAGGGUGCAAGCGUUACUCGGAAGUACUGGGCGUAAAGAGCGCGGAGGCGGGAUAGCAAGUCAGAUGUGAAAUCCUAUGGCUUAACCAUAGAACUGCAUUUGAAACUGGUAUUCUAGAGUAUGGGAGAGGUAGGUGGAAUGCUUGGUGUAGGGGUAAAAUGCGUAGAGAUCAGGAGGAAUACUGAUUGCGAAGGCGACCUGCUAGAACAUAACUGACGCGGAUGCGCGAAAGCGUGGGGAGCAAACAGGAUUAGAUACCCUAGUAGUC
rnacentral:rRNA from 1 species